rnacentral:tRNA from 1 species
UGCGUCGCCUGAGAUUUGAACUCAGACCAACUUGGUUAAAAGCCAAGUGUACUACCAUUAUACUAACGACGC